CAGAGGCAACGUGGGAUUUUUGGGCCAAUUACUGCCUACCCAAGCUUAUUCGCUACUUGGGCUGAGUCACGUCAACAUGAGGAUGGGUCGUGGACAAGUGAGCUCAGGGCUAAGCAGCAUACAUAGAAUACAAGUCUGCAAGCACACGGUAGCCCACAACUGG